rnacentral:lncRNA from 1 species
GGGGCAUACCCCCGCCCCCAGCUCCGCACCAGGCAAACCUGGGCAUAUGGGCCUGCCCCUGCUGGUGAGGCGGCCACAACGGUGUGUGGGAAUGGGAUGCUCUGUGACCCAGGUGGUGUGGGCUGAGUCCCGGGAGCCAAAGGGCAGAGGCAGGAUCAGCCACGGGAUUCCAGCCUUGGUCUUCCGGGGUAAGCUCCACAAAGGCGGGAAAGUCUGUCCCUGUCUAGGACAGUGGCUGGCACACGAGGGCCAUCGGUAAACUCUUGGAUGAACCAGGCUCAGAGACACGCAGUGCUCAAGGUCACACAGCGAGUCAGUGAGGGAGGGGAUGUGAAACCAGGGCCAAGGCUGCAGCGGACAGCAAAUCCAAAGAAGUGUUCCACUGAAUUCUGGAAGAAGAGACAGAGUGCAGGGCGUGAGCCUGGAGGCUGGGAGGCCCAGAAGGAGGCUGGCACAAAGGAGAGGGGACAGGCCAUGCAGUCCAAGGUGAGGAAGCAGUAUGGGCUGGUGUCAGGGCUGGUGGUGUGUGUUUGUGUGUGUGUGUGUGUGUGUAAAAAGUCCCCUUCAUCCCUAGAUUCUGAGGAAAGGGAGGGGCCCAUGCCAGCAUCCCCUCAAAGUCUGGGAAACCUGGAUCCCAGCCUCAUAGCGUCAGAACGUCAGAACAUCAGAACAGCCAGACCUGGCAGGGGAGGGGCCAGGGAGAAGGAGCAGAGGCAGUAUUUUCCCAGGGUCCCCUGGGGAGCCUGGCAGUGUGGACUGGGGGUGGGGCCGAGGAGGACAGAUGGGGCUGUGGGAGGGAGCAGCUGCCACUCUCCUCUCCAGGGAUGCCCGCUCCCCAACUCCAGCCCGCAUACCAGUGGGAGAGAUCGUGAGACCCUCCCCCUAUCCUUGCUCCCACCAGUCCUCAGUUUCCCUAGUGACACUGGAGAGACGAUCUGUGAGGACCCCCCCUGA